UUUCAUUUCUUCUCAUUCUCACUUUGUUGGAGAACUAAUAUGAAAUGUUGUCUGAGUGCUCAGGGAGAAGACAAGAGAUGAAGAUGAUAUUUUGUGUCACAAUAAUGAAAGGAACAAAUUCAGUUUGGCUGGAAGCAGUUUUUUAUGAUUAAAUUUUUUGACUGGA